rnacentral:rRNA from 1 species
GUAGCUAAUACCGCAUAACGUCGCAAGACCAAAGAGGGGGAGCUUCGGGCCUCUUGCCAUCGGAUGUGCCCAGAUGGGAUUAGCUAGUAGGUGGGGUAACGGCUCACCUAGGCGACGAUCCCUAGCUGGUCUGAGAGGAUGACCAGCCACACUGGAACUGAGACACGGUCCAGACUCCUACGGGAGGCAGCAGUGGGGAAUAUUGCACAAUGGGCGCAAGCCUGAUGCAGCCAUGCCGCGUGUAUGAAGAAGGCCUUCGGGUUGUAAAGUACUUUCAGCGGGGAGGAAGGGAGUAAAGUUAAUACCUUUGCUCAUUGACGUUACCCGCAGAAGAAGCACCGGCUAACUCCGUGCCAGCAGCCGCGGUAAUACGGAGGGUGCAAGCGUUAAUCGGAAUUACUGGGCGUAAAGCGCACGCAGGCGGUUUGUUAAGUCAGAUGUGAAAUCCCCGGGCUCAACCUGGGAACUGCAUCUGAUACUGGCAAGCUUGAGUCUCGUAGAGGGGGGUAGAAUUCCAGGUGUAGCGGUGAAAUGCGUAGAGAUCUGGAGGAAUACCGGUGGCGAAGGCGGCCCCCUGGACGAAGACUGACGCUCAGGUGCGAAAGCGUGGGGAGCAAACAGG